ACAGCCCCGUACACAAAAAUGCACAUGCUGUGAGCUCGAUGAGUAGGGCGGGACACGUGGUAUCCUGUCUGAAUAUGGGGGGACCAUCCUCCAAGGCUAAAUACUCCUGACUGACCGAUAGUGAACCAGUACCGUGAGGGAAAGGCGAAAAGAACCCCGGCGAGGGGAGUGAAAAAGAACCUGAAACCGUGUACGUACAAGCAGUGGGAGCACGCUUAGGCGUGUGACUGCGUACCUUUUGUAUAAUGGGUCAGCGACUUAUAUUCUGUAGCAAGGUUAACCGAAUAGGGGAGCCGAAGGGAAACCGAGUCUUAACUGGGCGUUAAGUUGCAGGGUAUAGACCCGAAACCCGGUGAUCUAGCCAUGGGCAGGUUGAAGGUUGGGUAACACUAACUGGAGGACCGAACCGACUAAUGUUGAAAAAUUAGCGGAUGACUUGUGGCUGGGGGUGAAAGGCCAAUCAAACCGGGAGAUAGCUGGUUCUCCCCGAAAGCUAUUUAGGUAGCGCCUCGUGAAUUCAUCUCCGGGGGUAGAGCACUGUUUCGGCAAGGGGGUCAUCCCGACUUACCAACCCGAUGCAAACUGCGAAUACCGGAGAAUGUUAUCACGGGAGACACACGGCGGGUGCUAACGUCCGUCGUGAAGAGGGAAACAACCCAGACCGCCAGCUAAGGUCCCAAAGUCAUGGUUAAGUGGGAAACGAUGUGGGAAGGCCCAGACAGCCAGGAUGUUGGCUUAGAAGCAGCCAUCAUUUAAAGAAAGCGUAAUAGCUCACUGGUCGAGUCGGCCUGCGCGGAAGAUGUAACGGGGCUAAACCAUGCACCGAAGCUGCGGCAGCGACGCUUAUGCGUUGUUGGGUAGGGGAGCGUUCUGUAAGCCUGCGAAGGUGUGCUGUGAGGCAUGCUGGAGGUAUCAGAAGUGCGAAUGCUGACAUAAGUAACGAUAAAGCGGGUGAAAAGCCCGCUCGCCGGAAGACCAAGGGUUCCUGUCCAACGUUAAUCGGGGCAGGGUGAGUCGACCCCUAAGGCGAGGCCGAAAGGCGUAGUCGAUGGGAAACAGGUUAAUAUUCCUGUACUUGGUGUUACUGCGAAGGGGGGACGGAGAAGGCUAUGUUGGCCGGGCGACGGUUGUCCCGGUUUAAGCGUGUAGGCUGGUUUUCCAGGCAAAUCCGGAAAAUCAAGGCUGAGGCGUGAUGACGAGGCACUACGGUGCUGAAGCAACAAAUGCCCUGCUUCCAGGAAAAGCCUCUAAGCAUCAGGUAACAUCAAAUCGUACCCCAAACCGACACAGGUGGUCAGGUAGAGAAUACCAAGGCGCUUGAGAGAACUCGGGUGAAGGAACUAGGCAAAAUGGUGCCGUAACUUCGGGAGAAGGCACGCUGAUAUGUAGGUGAAGUCCCUCGCGGAUGGAGCUGAAAUCAGUCGAAGAUACCAGCUGGCUGCAACUGUUUAUUAAAAACACAGCACUGUGCAAACACGAAAGUGGACGUAUACGGUGUGACGCCUGCCCGGUGCCGGAAGGUUAAUUGAUGGGGUUAGCGCAAGCGAAGCUCUUGAUCGAAGCCCCGGUAAACGGCGGCCGUAACUAUAACGGUCCUAAGGUAGCGAAAUUCCUUGUCGGGUAAGUUCCGACCUGCACGAAUGGCGUAAUGAUGGCCAGGCUGUCUCCACCCGAGACUCAGUGAAAUUGAACUCGCUGUGAAGAUGCAGUGUACCCGCGGCAAGACGGAAAGACCCCGUGAACCUUUACUAUAGCUUGACACUGAACAUUGAGCCUUGAUGUGUAGGAUAGGUGGGAGGCUUUGAAGUGUGGACGCCAGUCUGCAUGGAGCCGGCCUUGAAAUACCACCCUUUAAUGUUUGAUGUUCUAACGUUGACCCGUAAUCCGGGUUGCGGACAGUGUCUGGUGGGUAGUUUGACUGGGGCGGUCUCCUCCUAAAGAGUAACGGAGGAGCACGAAGGUUGGCUAAUCCUGGUCGGACAUCAGGAGGUUAGUGCAAUGGCAUAAGCCAGCUUGACUGCGAGCGUGACGGCGCGAGCAGGUGCGAAAGCAGGUCAUAGUGAUCCGGUGGUUCUGAAUGGAAGGGCCAUCGCUCAACGGAUAAAAGGUACUCCGGGGAUAACAGGCUGAUACCGCCCAAGAGUUCAUAUCGACGGCGGUGUUUGGCACCUCGAUGUCGGCUCAUCACAUCCUGGGGCUGAAGUAGGUCCCAAGGGUAUGGCUGUUCGCCAUUUAAAGUGGUACGCGAGCUGGGUUUAGAACGUCGUGAGACAGUUCGGUCCCUA
rnacentral:rRNA from 1 species